AUGCCUGGCCAUCUGACACCUGAGCUGAGGGCCCAACCAAGCUCAGAGAGUGUCAUUAUCACAGAGGUUCUUGUCCUCUGUUACAUUCAGCUGCACUUCAACAGUUCUGCUGCUAGACUCAUUAAAUGCUCUCUAUUCCCAGCCACCCGAAACCCCUGCCAGGGCAAUAUUGUCAUCCGAGAGCCUCUUAUACAUGUAUCUGUCCCAACAGAAAAGCAAUGUCUAUUCAGAGGACAAAUAGACACAGAUUUGCUCCCUUCAGAAUCAUUUCAUCCCACAGAGAGGAAUGCCUUGAAACCUGCAAGCUUCAUACAGGGGGCACAGGGCUUGGCAUAUAAAAGGCACUAGAGAUGAUGUGUAAGUGGAUGAACGAAGGAAGCUAAGGCAGGUAGGACUGUUUCUAUAGUUUCUUAGCCCAGUAAAUCAUCUUCUUUUUCUUGUUUAGAUGUUCAUUGAUGAAUAUAGCUGAACUAUGCAGGUGGUUUAGGGAGACUCAGAGUGGCCUGUCUGAGGUCACUGAGCUAUUCCAGAAGCAUUCUACAGCACACUGCCUCAACCCCUGGGCCAAAACCUUAAGUUCAGAACUUUUUAGAAGCUGUGGGCUAGAGGAGGGCUCUGGGUGCUUAGGCACUCUGGGUUUAAACACACACUACUGGCCCCAGUCCCCAAGUCUGUCAUGCUCUUCUGAGAAGAUGGCUGCAUGAGGCUGUCACCAUUGCCAUGACAAAUCCUUCAAAAAUGCUCUUGGAAUGUUCCAGGAAUAUAGCCACGUCCCUCACCCACUCAGGGUGAGAUAAUCUGGAGACUAUGUUCCCAGACAAAGGUAUCAAAUGUCCACCUUGCUUUUGAGGCUCUUUAGAAGAUAUGUCUUCCUAAAAGGCUUAGAUCUCAUAGUUAUUUGAAUGCAGGUUUCCCCCACUACCUGAAAGUAGAUCAUCCCUAUGAAAGCUUUCAUAAGCACAAAUGGAGUAAAGUGAAGAAGGAAGGAGCAGUUACCAUUAAUUUACAUGAAAACAUUUUUAAGCAUUCUCAGACCCCAAAAAUAACCUCUCUUAGGCUUUUCUGAUACUUUAAGAUACAUCUUGCUACCUGACUCAUGAAACAAAUUGAAAUAAAGCCCAGAUGCUCAGAGGCA
rnacentral:lncRNA from 1 species